rnacentral:rRNA from 1 species
AGUGAACGCUGGCGGUAGGCCUAACACAUGCAAGUCGAACGGCAGCACAGUAAGAGCUUGCUCUUACGGGUGGCGAGUGGCGGACGGGUGAGGUAUACAUCGGAAUCUACUUUUUCGUGGGGGAUAACGUAGGGAAACUUACGCUAAUACCGCAUACGACCUACGGGUGAAAGCAGGGGAUCUUCGGACCUUGCGCGAUUGAAUGAGCCGAUGUCGGAUUAGCUAGUUGGCGGGGUAAAGGCCCACCAAGGCGACGAUCCGUAGCUGGUCUGAGAGGAUGGUCAGCCACACUGGAACUGAGACACGGUCCAGACUCCUACGGGAGGCAGCAGUGGGGAAUAUUGGGCAAUGGGCGCAAGCCUGAUCCAGCCAUACCGCGUGGGUGAAGAAGGCCUUCGGGUUGUAAAGCCCUUUUGUUGGGAAAGAAAAGCAGCAGGUUAAUACCCCGCUGUUCUGACGGUACCCAAAGAAUAAGCACCGGCUAACUUCGUG